UUUUUCAUGUUUUUUGUCAGCUUUGUGGUAACCCUGGCUAGAUAGAACAUAGCUGUUAAUCCAAAGGUACCUGCUGGUUAUGCUGAACAUGGCAGCAGAAGAGGAAUGGGAUGGUUUAAACCAGCGGUAGUUUUACCACAAUCCAGGUGGUUCUUCUGAUAUAAGACAGAGAUUUUGAAUUUCCCUCUAACAAGCAUGCAUGGGUUGAGACAAGGAGAGAGCCACAUUCCAACAUCAAAGUCGGCUUCAUUUUUAUUUGAAUUGCAGCCACAGAGAGACCACUUGCCAGUUUUACUUGUAGUGGGCAGCAAUACUGUUUGUCCGGUGUAUUCAUUUUCUAGGGGCAUAAUCUCCUGAUGAACCAUCCUUUUUCAUCAGAUGUUUCACUUAUCUAGUGGUUUCCACAUUCCUUAGUUCGUUGAUUUUUAUUCUUUGGUAGACAUAAAAACAAAUGCCCAAAUCAUC